CGAACCUUCGGGUUAGUGGCGGACGGGUGAGUAACGCGUGAGAAUCUGCCCUCAGGAGGGGGAUAACAGUUGGAAACGACUGCUAAUACCCCAUAUGCCGAAAGGUAAAACUAAUUUCGCCUGGGGAUGAGCUCGCGUCUGAUUAGCUUGUUGGUGGGGUAACGGCCUACCAAGGCUUCGAUCAGUAGCUGGUCUGAGAGGACGAUCAGCCACACUGGGACUGAGACACGGCCCACACUCCUACGGGAGGCAGCAGUGGGGAAUUUUCCGCAGUGGGCGCAAGCCUGACGGAGCAACGCCGCGUGAGGGAUGAAGGCCUUUGGGCUGUAAACCUCUUUUCUCAAGGAAGAAGAUCUGACGGUACUUGAGGAAUAAGCCACGGCUAAUUCCGUGCCAGCAGCCGCGGUAAUACGGGAGUGGCAAGCGUUAUCCGGAAUUAUUGGGCGUAAAGCGUCCACAGGCGGCCGUUUAAGUCUGUUGUUAAAUCGUAGAGCUCAACUCUAUCACGGCAAUGGAAACUGUUCGGCUUGAGUAUGGUAGGGGCAGAGGGAAUUUCCGGUGUAGCGGUGAAAUGCGUAGAUAUCGGGAAGAACACCAGUGGCAAAAGCGCUCUGCUGGGCCAUUACUGACGCUCAUGGACGAAAGCCAGGGGAGCGAAAGGGAUUAGAUACCCCUGUAGUCCUGGCCGUAAACGAUGAACACUAGAUGUUGGGGGAAUCGACCCCUUCGGUGUCGUAGCUAACGCGUUAAGUGUUCCGCCUGGGGAGUACGCACGCAAGUGUGAAACUCAAAGGAAUUGACGGGGGCCCGCACAAGCGGUGGAGUAUGUGGUUU
rnacentral:rRNA from 1 species